UCCAAUAACAGCAGACUUUGAAGCUGUAGUGCGUAACUUUGAUACCAAUGAACGUCCGUUACAUUCAAGCCAUUGACAAAUGAGCUGCUACAAAGCUAAUUACUAUAGACUA